rnacentral:rRNA from 1 species
AUGAGCACCAGUUACUUCUACCAGUUGCUCACUUUCAGAGGAAUGCACUGCGCAGCAGCACCCUGGGUGUGGGAUUCGUUAAUUCCUCUCAAACAUAGAACUUUCCUUUGGCUAGCUUUCCGAGGGAGGCUCAACACCAGGGACAAUAUGCUCAGGAAAAACUGGGUCGCCAUUGCUCCGUUCGCUGACUGUGACACCUGCCCUGCGUUGGAAAGCAUUGGCCACAUUGUGUUGCAUUGCAGGGCAGCUUCUGUUUUAUGGAGCAUUUUGGGGCUGGGCUCUUUGGCGCAUGCAUCAUCCGACAUCCUCUCUUUUGUCGAAGCUGCUGGCAGGCAGUUGCACUGCAGGCGCAUAUGGAAGGUGCUGUUCGCUGCUUGCGCUGUCACUUCUUGGCAUGCCCGCAACGAUCGAGUUUUUCAUUCAAAGAUAUGGUCUGAGGCAUAUACCAAGUUUUAUGUAGCUGAUCUCCUUAAGUUAUGGAGCCACAGGGCGAGUAAACAGCAAGACAAGUCAGAUCUUCUCUAUUGGGGUACUAUGUUUACUGACUAA